rnacentral:rRNA from 1 species
CAGUCGCCGCGGGAAUACGUAGGUGGCAAGCGUUGUCCGGAAUUAUUGGGCGUAAAGGGCUCGCAGGCGGUUUCUUAAGUCUGAUGUGAAAGCCCCCGGCUCAACCGGGGAGGGUCAUUGGAAACUGGGAAACUUGAGUGCAGAAGAGGAGAGUGGAAUUCCACGUGUAGCGUGAAAUGCGUAGAUAUUGGGAGGAACACCAGUGGCGAAGGCGGCUUUCUGGUCUGUAACUGACGCUGAGGAGCGAAAGCGUGGGGAGCGAACAGGAUUAGAUACCCCCGUAGUCCCUGUCUCUUAUACC